rnacentral:rRNA from 1 species
AACGAACGCUGGCGGCAGGCUUAACACAUGCAAGUCGAACGCCUCGCAAGGGGAGUGGCAGACGGGUGAGUAACGCGUGGGAACGUACCUUUCGCUUCGGAAUAUUCCCGGGAAACUGGGAGCAAUGCCGCAUACGCCGUAUUGGGAAAGAUUUAUCGGCGAAAGAUCGGCCCGCGUUAGAUUAGGUAGUUGGCGGUGUAAUGGACCACCAAGCCUACGAUCUAUAGCUGGUCUGAGAGGAUGAUCAGCCACACUGGGACUGAGACACGGCCCAGACUCCUACGGGAGGCAGCAGUGGGGAAUCUUGGACGAUGGGCGCAAGCCUGAUCCAGCCAUGCCGCGUGAGUGAAGAAGGCCUUAGGGUUGUAAAACUCUUUUGCCGGUGAAGAUAAUGACGGUAACCGGAGAAGAAGCCCCGGCUAACUUCGUGCCAGCCGCCGCCGUAA